rnacentral:rRNA from 1 species
GCCCUUAGAGUUUGAUCCUGGCUCAGGAUGAACGCUGGCGGUAUGCUUUACACAUGCAAGUCGUACGAGAGUUUUUAACUCAAGUGGCGGACGGGUGAGUAACACGUAAGAAUUUGCCUUUAGGAGGGGGAUAACAACUGGAAACGGUUGCUAAUACCCCAUAUGCUUUCGAGUAAAAAUGGAUUUUCCGCCUAAAGAGAAGCUUGCGGCUGAUUAGCUUGUUGGUGAGGUAAUGGCUCACCAAGGCGACGAUCAGUAUCUGGUUUGAGAAGGACGAUCCAGACACACUGGAACUGAGACACGGUCCAGACUCCUUACGGGGAGGGCAGCAGGUGGGGAAUUUUUCCGCAAUGGGGCGAAAGCCUGACGGGAGCAAUACCGCGGUGAGGGGAUGAACGGGCCUAUGGGUUGUAACACCUCUUUUUUUCAGGGAGGAAUCAAUGAACGUGUACCUGAAGAAAUAAGCAUCGGCUAAACUCUCGUGCCAGCAGCCCGCGGUAAGACGGAGAGAUGCCAAGUGUUUAUCUCGGAAUCACUGGGGCGUAAAGCGUCUGUAGGUGGGUUCAAAAUAAAGUCAACUGUUAAAUUCUUGAGGCGUCAACCCUCAAAAUCCGCAGUCGAAACUAUUUCGACUAGAGUAUAGUAAGGGGUAAAGGGGAAUUUCUCAGUGGGAGCGGUGAAAUGCGUAGAGAUUGGAAAGAACACCGAUGGCGAAGGCACUUUUACUGGGCUAUUACUAACACUGAGAGACGAAAGCUAGGGUAGCAAAUGGGGAUUAGAUACCCCCAGUAGUCCUAGCCGUAAACAAUGGAUACUAGAUGUUGAACAGAUCGACCUGUGCAGUAUCAAAGCUAACGCGUUAAGUAUCUCGCCUGGGAAGUAUGCUCGCAAGAGUGGAACUCAAAUGAAUUGACGGGGAAGGGC